rnacentral:rRNA from 1 species
ACGGACGGCCAUACCACCCUGAACGCGCCCAAUCUCGUCUGAUCUCGGAAGCUAAGCAGGGUCGGGCCUGGUUAGUACUUGGAUGGGAGAAGUAUUAGCUACUAAAAGAAAGGAAGUAUCCUUA